CUUUUUUCCUAGAGGCUGCAAUUCUCUUCUUCAUCCAAGAUACAUAACAUUUAAAAUAAUUCAAUUUAUAAAUAGAAACAAUAAUUCUGGAAACAUCUCUCCUUGAAAGUGAUGAAAACUUUUUCGUGGGUUUCUGUUACAUAUUCCCAGCAGUGUGCUGCUGCUCUGAAGUCACGCUUAGAUCAAGAACCCAAAUGUCUUGGCCAUUUGUAAAUCUUGGAAUCCUUUUAUCAUGGAUCAGGGAAAACCUCCACUUUGUGAGUGAAUUCAAUAUAUCAUUUUCUUUCUUAUAUUUCCCUUUCUCCUCACUCUUUCCUUUUUUUCUUUUUUUGUCUUUUUGAUGACUCACUGCAGGGGAGUUGAUUUCUCCAGAAACCUAGGGGAGCUGUGAGCCUGGGCUGUGUGGUGGAACCCCCAUGAUGAACACCUCCUGGUGCCUGAACGGGAACGAGCUGAAUGGCUCAGAUGAUGCUCUGGGUGUCCUCAUCAUCCAAGGGAUCCUUGUCAAGGCCUUCAGCAACCACGCUGUGGGACGGUACCAGUGUGUGACUGUGGCCGGCGUGCCAGCCACCAUGACACUAACCAGGGAUUGAGGAAGACUCGGGAGUCUUGAAGAAUGUGUCGGACAACCCUUAUCUCAAACUUUUUUGAGUCCUCACCUACCUUUCUCAGACUUUCAAUAACCAAGUGCAGCUCUCAGCACUGUGUGCUUGGACUUAAGCCUAGUUUCCAGGAUGGUGCAGAUACUUCCAUGAGAAGCAAGAAGACAAAGAUGGAUAAAGUAGAUGAAAGACAAGCAGCGUAGGAAGAGGACUUCAGGCCUUGACCGUGAGUUGUGUGACCUCAGGUGAGUCACUUAAUGUCUUGGAAUCUCAACUCCUUUAUUUGUAAAAUGAAGGCUGGUUUACUUUUUGAAAUAGGGGUAAGUUUUGAGAUGAUAGGUUAUCAGGAAAAGUCUAAGCAAUUAGUUUAUGAGACAGGAACUGUAUAGAUUGCUUCCUGCUUAGUAAUAAAACCAUCAAACAAUCAUCGUGCUGAGGUACU
rnacentral:lncRNA from 1 species